rnacentral:lncRNA from 1 species
UGCAUUUCCAUUUCUACCUACUCCACUCUGCAGAAUCAGAGGCCACGCAUUCAUCACUUUCUCUGUCUCCAUGUAUUUGCUGGAACCUUUCCUACUGUACUCCCGUUUUCUUCAUCUUUAAAUUAAAACCCACAGAAGCCGUGUUAUUUUUCCAAAAUCACAAGGAUAGCAAUAGGAGGAGCAGAGUCUACAGAUAUUCUCACUUCAUUCAGAACUGGAAACAGAUCUAUGGCCAUUUGGAAUCCUAUCAAGAUCAAGCAUGUAGUUUUUUAUGGAAAUGUGAAUAGCUUUAAGUUGUGUUACCUCAAUGGACCUCUGUGAGGAGAGAAGAAUAUACUUGAAGGGACACAGCCAUUCAUACUGCACCUGAGUGAUGUUCUCAUGAAGCCAGGACGACCAUCAAAUUAACAGAAAAUGCCUCAUAGAAAAAGUCUUUGCUGUUUUGUUACUGUAGUGAAUACCAUUUAGGCAGAGGUAGAUGAUAUACAUGAAAGCCUUUAGACAACAUUAGCUUUAAGGGAGAGGAAAUACAGUGGGUAAAGGGAUUUUUCCAACCAUGAGUAGGAACCUCCAGCAGCUGAGCAGUGGUUAGAGACCCAAUCAGCCUUUGACUCUUUUUAGUAAUGUCUAACUGAUAAUAUAAUUAUUUCUUCACCAGCUGAAAGUAUCUGGUUGAGAAGUGGGAAAAAUGAUGCAAUCAAGUAUUAUUUCCUCUUCUGAAGACAGACCUUAUUAUGAGUUUUAAGAUAUUGUUUUAUGGAGGUAUGACAUACAAGUACCUGAAUUAUAAAGCUAAGAAUCACGUUUGUGCAGGCAUCCCUGUGCAACCACUGUCUUGUCAAAAUAGAAAAUAUUCCCAGAAUCCAAAAAGUUGCUACCUAGACUUUUCCUGUCAAUAUUUCACUCAGAGGAAAUCACUAUUGUGACUUCUAAAUCCACAGCUGAGUCUGCAGAUUCUUGAAUUUCAUAAAAGUAUAGCCAUACAGUUUGUACUGUUUCCCUUCUGUCUUCACUUCCCUGCCUAUGAAAUUUAUCCAUAGCCUUAUGUGUACCUGUAGCUUUUCUUCUUAGUUUCCCUAAUCUGUGUUCCAUUAUAUAAAUGUUCCACAAUUUAUUGAUUGAUUCCUAUUGAUGGAGUUUUUAGGUGUUGUUUCCAGUUGGAGCUAUUAUAAGUAAAGCUGCUAUAUACAUCACUACACAUGUAUUUUUGUGAAUAUAUCCUCAUUUCUCUUGAACAUAUAUCGAGGAGUAGAUAUAUAGCUGGGUAAUAGAAUAGGCAUACAUUUAGUUUUAGUAGACACUAUCAAAUUGGUUUACAAAUGUAAUUGCUAUGUUAUUCACAGCUUUACAUUCAUAUGUUCCAAAAUUUUUCCAUACAUUGCUUUAUCAAAUUGAAAUUAUGGUCAACUGAGUGAUAUUUCCUGGCUUCAAUGAUUAUUGUAGGACAAUUUUGCUGUAAAGAUCUCACCCACUCUCUGACAUUCAGUUACUUCCAAUGUUCCUAAAUGACUCCUUGGGCUUUUAAAACAUUCUGGCCCUUUCUACUCUCUCUAAAGUCAUCUUUGCUUUUACUGUUAAUUCUGAAGUAUCCUUGACCACUUGCAUUUUAUGCUUUUCAUAAGAUAGCCUUUUGAAACUAAUGAUUAUCAAAUCUAAAUCACUAUUCCUCAACAAGCAGCUUCUAAUUUAGUGAGUCACCAAGGAAAAUUUUCAGGUUGAUUCCAUUAUUGAAAGAAUUCAGAAGAAAUUGUAAACUAUUGAUCAAAAGAGAGAAUGUAACUCAGAUUCUAAAAGCUCCAUAACACUCAAG